UACGGGAGGCAGCAGUGGGGAAUAUUGCACAAUGGGCGAAAGCCUGAUGCAGCUAUGCCGCGUGUAUGAAGAAGGCCUUAGGGUUGUAAAGUACUUUCAUCGGGGAGGAAAAACAAAACUAAUAAUUUUAUUUCUUGACGUUACCCGAAAAAGAAGCACCGGCUAACUCCGUGCCAGCAGCCGCGGUAAUACGGAGGGUGCUAGCGUUAAUCAGAAUUACUGGGCGUAAAGAGCACGUAGGUGGUUUUUUUAAGUCAGAUGUGAAUCCCUGGGCUUAACCUAGGAACUGCAUUUUGAAACUGAAAUACUAGAGUAUCGUAGAGGGAGGUAGAAUUCUAGGUGUAGCGGUGAAAUGCGUAGAUAUCUGGAGGAAUACCUGUGGCGAAAGCGGCCUCCUAAACGAAUACUGACACUGAGGUGCGAAAGCGUGGGGAGCAAACAGGGAUUAGAUA
rnacentral:rRNA from 1 species